UACAGAGGGUGCAGGCGUUAAUCGGAAUUACUGGGCGUAAAGCGUGCGCAGGCGGUUAUGUAAGACAGAUGUGAAAUGCCCGGGCUUAACCUGGGAACUGCAUUUGUGACUGCAUGGCUAGAGUUUGGCAGAGGGGGGUAGAAUUCCACGUGUAGCAGUGAAAUGCGUAGAUAUGUGGAGGAACACCGAUGGCGAAGGCAGCCCCCUGGGUCAAGACUGACGCUCAUGCACGAAAGCGUGGGGAGCAAACAGG
rnacentral:rRNA from 1 species